UACGAAGGGGGCUAGCGUUGUUCGGAAUCACUGGGCGUAAAGCGCAUGCAGGCGGACUGAUCAGUCGGGGGUGAAAGCCCGGGGCUCAACCUCGGAACUGCCUUCGAUACUGUCAGUCUUGAGUCCGGGAGAGGUGAGUGGAAUUCCUAGUGUAGAGGUGAAAUUCGUAGAUAUUAGGAAGAACACCAGUGGCGAAGGCGACUCACUGGCCCGGUACUGACGCUCAGAUGCGAAAGCGUGGGGAGCAAACAGG
rnacentral:rRNA from 1 species